rnacentral:rRNA from 1 species
UACGAAGGGGGGCGAGCGUUGUUCGGAAUUACUGGGCGUAAAGGGCGCGUAGGCGGCCGAGCAAGUUAGAUGUGAAAGUCCUGGGCUUAACCUGGGGACUGCAUUUGAUACUGCUUGGCUUGAAUUCGGGAGAGGAUAGCGGAAUUCCCAGUGUAGAGGUGAAAUUCGUAGAUAUUGGGAAGAACACCGGUGGCGAAGGCGGCUAUCUGGACCGACAUUGACGCUGAGGCGCGAAAGCGUGGGGAGCAACAGG